CCGCAAACCUCUGCAGCAAGCUGGAACAAAACGCGUGACCGCCCGACCACGUCGCCGCCAUUCUGAGGACUCCACAGAACAUUCCUCUCGAGGCACGUCAACAACAUCGUAAGGCGCCUGUCAUCCUUGGCUGGAUUCCAUCAGCUACUCUCAACUCCCUCCACUGGCUUCCCAUCGCCAGGAGGGUUGGCUACAAAGUCACCUGCUGCCUGUGGCACCACACCUUUACC